rnacentral:rRNA from 1 species
UACGUAGGGUGCAAGCGUUAUCCGGAAUUAUUGGGCGUAAAGAGCUCGUAGGCGGUUUGUCGCGUCUGCUGUGAAAACUGGAGGCUCAACCUCCAGCCUGCAGUGGGUACGGGCAGACUAGAGUGGCGGUAGGGGAGAUUGGAAUUCCUGGUGUAGCGGUGGAAUGCGCAGAUAUCAGGAGGAACACCGAUGGCGAAGGCAGAUCUCUGGGCCGUAACUGACGGCUGAGGAGCGAAAGCAUGGGGAGCGAACAGG